UUUACACCAUAAAAUGUAACUAUUUAGAUAGUUUUCGUUAUUUUUCAGAAUUGUGUCGCGAUUGUAGACUGUUUUGUAUGUCUACGCAUAUGUGUAGACUUACGUUGCGGUAUACUUGUCAAUGCACAAGUUAUUUUUGAAAUUGCCAAAAUAUUUUUUUUUUUUUGUAAAAAAGACUUCCCUAGAAAUCUAUGUCCUUA
rnacentral:lncRNA from 1 species